rnacentral:rRNA from 1 species
UACGUAGGGGGCAAGCGUUGUCCGGAUUUAUUGGGCGUAAAGAGCGUGUAGGCGGCUUUGCAAGUCCGUUGUGAAAACUCGAGGCUCAACCUCGAGACGCCGGUGGAAACUGGCAAAGCUAGAGUCCGGAAGAGGAGAGUGGAAUUCCUGGUGUAGCGGUGAAAUGCGCAGAUAUCAGGAAGAACACCCGUGGCGAAGGCGGCUCUCUGGGACGGUACUGACGCUGAGGAGCGAAAGCUAGGGGAGCGAACGGG